AACAGAUGCAAAAUCUGAUCGGUGAAGAUAAGAAAACGGAGACCAUGGGAAUUCUUCUAGUCCUGUUUACAGCUUCUUUAUGCCUCUACCUUUUCGUUGCUUUGCUCAAUGUUUUCUACAAGUAUUGGUGGAUACCUCAACGGGUACAGUUCGCCAUGAAUUCACAGGGAAUCAGAGGACCUCCUUAUGAAUUUAUCCAUGGAAACAACAAAGAAGCUGCCCAAAUGCUCAUGGAAGCAUCUACCAAACCUAUGGGCUUGACACACGAUAUAUUUCCCAGAGUCGUGCCUCAUGUUUACUCCUGGAUCAACAAAUACGGUGAGAAUGUCUUUUUUUUCUUUUUUGGGUAGUAUUUUCUGAUUAACCUCCACUUUCCAUGAAGAGAAAUCACUUUCUUUCAGGGAGCACUUUUCUUAGUUGGAAUGGAAUUCGAGCUCAACUGCAAAUUACAGACCCAGAUCUGGUCAAAGAGGUCCUUAAAAACAGUGACAAAGCUUUUCGAAAGCCAAAGACUUCAUAUUUCUUCGUCAAGCUAAUAGGCGAUGGGCUUGCUUCAACCGAACGUGAGAAAUGGGCAAGGCAAAGGAAACUGGCCAAUUAUGCCUUUCAUGGGGAGAGCUUAAAAGUAAAUCAUCUCUACCUUCUAAUCUAAUUAUUGUAGUGGACAUUUACAAACUUGAUAAUUUUUUGCAGAAUAUGACUCCAGCAGUAGUUGCUAGCGUUGAAACCAUGCUUGAGAAAUGGAAAAGUAAGGAGGGCAAAGAGAUAGAAGUGUUCCAAGAGUUCAGAUUAUUGACUUCAGAAGUGAUAUCCAGAACCGCCUUUGGUAGCAGUUACUUGGAAGGGGAGAAGAUUUUUGACAUGCUGAUGAAGUUGACAGUAAUUGCAGGCAGAAAUAUUUUUAAAGCAAAGAUUCCCAUCAUCAGGUAACUUCAUCAAAUCUUUACUUUGUUAAUCAACAUACUUCAGCUUACAAUGGGUUGAUUUAAUCUGGUUGUCCUUUUCAGCAAGUUUUGGAAAUCUGCUGAUGAAAUUGAAUCAGAAAGAAUUGCCAAAAUGAUACAUGAUUCUGUGAUGAGGAUUGUUAAAAAAAGGGAAGAGAGAGUAGUGAACGGAGAAGCUGAUAACUUCGGUCGUGAUUUUCUGGGAUUACUUAUAAAUGCUUAUCAUGAGGCGGACCAGAAAAACAGGCUUUCGAUUCAAGAUUUGGUAGAUGAGUGUAAAACUUUUUAUUUUGCUGGGCAAGAAACAGUCAAUUCCUUGCUGGCAUGGGCAACUCUGCUUUUAGCAAUACACACCGAUUGGCAAGACAAAGCAAGAGCAGAGGUGAUUGAGGUCUUUGGUAAUCAAAACCCAGAUUCUGAAGGGAUGGCCAAAUUAAAGACGGUAAGCAAACUAUACAAAUUCAAUAGCUUGAAAACUAACACUGACCAUUUAUAUUGCCUUUUGGAUUUUUUUUUUCUCCAACAGAUUACCAUGAUUAUCAAUGAAACUUUACGGCUCUAUCCUCCUAUAAAUCGCGUGAUAAGAGAAGUAGGAAGAGAAGUCCAAUUAGGAAAACUUGUCCUGCCUACUCAUUCAGAGGUCGACAUGCAAAUCAUAGCACUUCACCAUGACCCUGACUUAUGGGGAGAUGAUGUUAACCUUUUCAAACCAGAGAGGUUUGCUGAAGGGAUAGCGAAAGCUACUAAGUACAAUGCAGCUGCAUUUAUGCCUUUUGGAUUGGGACCUCGAUCUUGCGUAGGCAUGAGCUUUGCAAUCACUGAAGUGAAAACUGCACUUUCCAUGAUUCUGCAACGCUAUACUUUCACCGUCUCCCCUACCUAUGUUCACGCACCUGCACCACGUCUUUCACUCAAGCCACAACAUGGGAUUCAGUUGUUGUUUCAUUCACUACAUUAUGAUGCUUAAAAUUCUAGGCUGUUGGUCUCCAAUAUUGUAAUAUAUAAUAAAAUGUGGAUGAUACUGUAUUUUGCAACCAUACGAUGAUAUAUGGUUUGGGGAUUUCAUGUUUUGGCAACAAGAUUAUAUGCUUUUUGUUGUUGUUGAUAUUGUUAAAGGUUAAAAAGGUAUUACAGCAAACAUCGCCACCGCAGGAGCAGGCCCUACGGUCCACCAAAGAGAAAUCAAUUCAAACUACCCCAAAAAGCUGGAACGGCAGCAGCAAAUCGAGUCAGCUCCCUGAACAUCAUACAGCAACACAGAAAGAAGAACAUCACAACCCAGUCAUAUACACGCCAUGAAGACAUUGGACUCCACAUUUUGCUAAAGUAUCAGCAAAGCAGCUAGAUUCUUUAUACACAUUCACAAUGGAGACAUUAUGGGAUCUCAUCACAGAGCUUAGAAUAUGACCCAUCCAGCAUUUGAGAAACAGUGAAGAUGUCAAGUCCAGGAGCUCCAAACAAUGCCUUGGCCGCUGGAUCCUAUAAUUAGGUGUCUUUCUUCCAUUACUACUGCAGUAGUGAAGUUUUUAUUCCACUUGGUUCCCAUCUUCCAGAGUUUCUGCUUGAAACACUCACUCCUGGAGCCGGCCAUUACAUUGCUUGUUAGCUUUCAUGGAAGGCUCGAAGCUCAUUAGACCAGAAACAUUGUUACUUUGCCUAUGUAUCUAUUUGACAUAUUCUCUUAAGGAAGAGCUACUUAUAUCAAGGCUCCAUCUUUCUGAGUUGCAGGGCAAAAGUCCGUUCUCCAUGCAAAACUACCCAUUUCCACUAAAGCACACUAGCUUUCGCCAUCCCAUCCGCGAAAAAACCUGAAAUGAUACACCAGAAACUCCCUCAAGACAGACAGAGCCAAGUCACUUUCUCGCUAAUCCCCAUUGAACCCUCCAAUUAAGCAAAGCCAUUUCAUAUUUCAACCCAAUGGCCACCACAAUUGCCGUACAAAAUUUACAAAUUAAAAUGCAAAAAGUAAUACAGAAAAAUACACAGCCCAAGCUCCAAUAGUAACAUAAACAUUCAUUUUAUAACAAUAAAGUUAAAGCCACGAAUAUUUUCAAAAAAAUUCAAUUAAGCCCUUGAAUGUUAAAAUUUCAAUCAAUUAAGCUCUUUGAUAGUUAAAGUUAACAGUUAAUUGUUAUAGUUAAAAUUUCAAUCAAUUAAGGUACGGUGUAGCGUUUGUUUACCCAUCGUUUAACCAUGUGGUUGAAGGUUCGAUCCCCACUUAUGGAAAUGAAGCACAUUUCAUAGUCAGUCAUUUACCUAUUUGGAGAGCACUUAUAGUGAGAAGAUUAACUACUGUUGUUGUUGGUGAAUUCCCUGAUUAUUACAAAUAAAAAAUAACAAUUGUCAUUUUUUUUGGAUUAUUUUUGCCACGUGCCAUGCUAAGAUUGUGCCACGUGGUAUAAAAUUAUAAAAAUCAUAUAAAAAUUAUACAAGAAUUAUAAAAAUGAAUAAAAUUAGAAAAAAUAUAUAAAAAAUCUAUUUUUAAAAGGUUAAUAAAUUUAAUAUUUUAUUAUUUUGAAAAGGAUAAUAAAUUUUUAAAAGGUUUUUUUAUUCUUAAAUUUUUAAGGGCUAUUUAAAUUUAAUUUCAAAAUAAAGCAUGCCUAAUAUAUAAAUAGACAUUUAAUUGGUGUCCAACAGGAAUGGCGUCACUCCUAUUUUUCAUCUAGUUUAAAAAUGAUAAUUAAUUCAUCAGGUGUCUGAACAUUUUUAUUUAUUCUUCAAUUCAAUGUCACAAAAAACAAUGACAACAUCCAAAAUAUUUUUUUUUUUUAAAAUGAGUCACCGACAUUUAUGGUUUAAAAUGAGUUUCAAAAUAAGUUAUUUUUAUAAAUAAUUAAAAGUUUUGGGUAUUUUUAAUAAAAAAAGCCUAAGUUUGAUGAAUGGCGUCAGCCAUUAUGUAGGUCUACUUAAUACGAAAACGACGGCUUGAUUUUGUUGGCCAAAAGGAAAGUACCUUUUGGGUUUUGCUUUGCCCAAAUGCUAGCAAAGUCUUUGCAUGCAUUUGUUUGAUUGGAAAAGUGAGAAAUAGAUGAACAUGGUAAGCACAAAUUCUAGACAUUACCAUAUCACCUAUAAAAUUUAGUUAUCUUUUUAAUUUCUUUUGGUGUAUUAUAAAAAAAAAAUUCUAAUAACACGACUUGAAUCAAAUCAUAUCUUAGUCAAGAGAUGGGGUUAUUUUAAUUUUUGUUUAUAAAAAAAAAAUCUUGUUCAUUGAGGGCCCUAGUAGGAGGUAUUGAAUAAUAACUAGAAGUCAAAUCCUGCACGCUUCCCAUUUCUGUGUAUUGAAUUGGCUGUAAUUUUCAAAGGACAUGAACCUUGAAGAGGGACAAGUGUAGUCUCUUGAUGAUAAAUGUGUUGACUGUCACCUUGCAAAACCCAGAUUACCAUAACAGAUGCAAAAUCUGAUCGGUGAAGAUAAGAAAAUGGAGACCAUGGGAAAUCUUCUAAUCCUGUUUACAGCUUCUUUAUGCCUCUAUCUUUUCGUUGCUUUGCUCAAUGUUUUCUACAAGUAUUGCUGGAUACCUCAACGGGUACAGUUCAUCAUGAAUUCACAAGGAAUCAGAGGACCUCCUUAUGAAUUUAUCCAUGGAAACAACAAAGAAGCUGCCCAAAUGCUCAUGGAAGCAUCUACCAAACCUAUGGCCUUGACACACGAUAUAUUUCCCAGAGUCAUGCCUCAUGUUUACUCCUGGAUCAACAAAUACGGUGAGAAUAUGUUUUUUUUAUCUUUUUUGGGUAGUAUUUUCUGAUUAACCUCCACUUUCCAUGAAGAGAAAUCAUUUUCUUUCAGGGAAGACUUAUCUUAGUUGGAAUGGAAUUCGAGCU
rnacentral:lncRNA from 1 species